UGUCCAGACUCCUACGGGAGGCAGCAGUGAGGAAUAUUGGUCAAUGGGCGAGAGCCUGAACCAGCCAAGUCGCGUGAGGGACGACGGCCCUACGGGUUGUAAACCUCUUUUGCCGGGGGACAAACGGCGGCACGCGUGCCGUCCUGAGGGUACCCGGAGAAAAAGCAUCGGCUAACUCCGUGCCAGCAGCCGCGGUAAUACGGAGGAUGCGAGCGUUAUCCGGAUUUAUUGGGUUUAAAGGGUGCGUAGGCGGGAUGCCAAGUCGGCGGUCAAAUACGGGGGCUCAACCUGCGUCCGCCGUUGAAACUGGCGUUCUUGAGUGGGCGAGAAGUACGCGGAAUGCGUGGUGUAGCGGUGAAAUGCAUAGAUAUUGCGCAGAACUCCGAUUGCGAAGGCAGCCUACCGGCUCCUGUCUGACGCUGAGGCACGAAAGCGUGGGUAUCGAACAGGAUUAGAUACCCGUGUA
rnacentral:rRNA from 1 species